rnacentral:rRNA from 1 species
GCGUGUAGGCGGCUUGAUAAGUCCGCUGUGAAAGUCCAGGGCUCAACCCUGGAAUGCCAGUGGAAACUGUCAAGCUAGAGUCCGGAAGAGGCGAGUGGAACUCCUGGUGUAGCGGUGAAAUGCGCAGAUAUCAGGAAGAACACCAAUGGCGAAGGCAGCUCGCUGGGACGGUACUGACGCUGAAACGCGAAAGCGUGGGGAGCAAACAGGAUUGGAUACCCUGGUAGUCCACGCUGUAAACGAUGGGCACUAAGUGUGGGGGG